rnacentral:rRNA from 1 species
UACGAAGGGGGCUAGCGUUGCUCGGAAUCACUGGGCGUAAAGGGUGCGUAGGCGGGUUUUUAAGUCAGGGGUGAAAUCCUGGAGCUCAACUCCAGAACUGCCUUUGAUACUGAAGAUCUUGAGUCCGGGAGGGGUGAGUGGAACUGCGAGUGUAGAGGUGAAAUUCGUAGAUAUUCGCAAGAACACCAGUGGCGAAGGCGGCUCACUGGCCCGGUACUGACGCUGAGGUGCGAAAGCGUGGGGAGCAAACAGG